CGGAAGCGGUGACGUGGAGCGAAUCGCGAAAAGACCGCCCCACGUUCAGAUUGCAGGCUGCAACCCGCCUGCAUGAAGUCGGAAUUGCUAGUAAUCGCGGAUCAGCAUGCCGCGGUGAAUACGUUCCCGGGCCUUGUACACACCGCCCGUCACACCAUGAGAGUCGGGGACACCCGAAGCCUGUAGCAUAACCGCGAGGGGUGCGCAGUCGAAGGUGGAUUCGAUGAUUGGGGUGAAGUCGUAACAAGGUAAC
rnacentral:rRNA from 1 species